rnacentral:rRNA from 1 species
GUGGGGAAUCUUGCGCAAUGGGCGAAAGCCUGACGCAGCCAUGCCGCGUGAAUGAUGAAGGUCUUAGGAUUGUAAAAUUCUUUCACCGGGGACGAUAAUGACGGUACCCGGAGAAGAAGCUCCGGCUAACUUCGUGCCAGCAGCCGCGGUAAUACGAAGGGGGCUAGCGUUGCUCGGAAUUACUGGGCGUAAAGGGCGCGUAGGCGGACAGCUCAGUCAGAGGUGAAAUCCCAGGGCUCAACCUUGGAAUUGCCUUUGAUACUGGCUGUCUUGAGUUUGGGAGAGGUGAGUGGAACUCCGAGUGUAGAGGUGAAAUUCGUAGAUAUUCGGAAGAACACCAGUGGCGAAGGCGACUCACUGGCCCAAUACUGACGCUGAGGCGCGAAAGCGUGGGGAGCAAACAGGAUUAGAAACCCGAGUAGUCC